rnacentral:tRNA from 1 species
GCCGCCGUAGCUCACUGGUAGAGCAUUGGACGCUUGAUUCGAAGGUCGCAGGUUCAUUCCCUGCCGGCGGCA